GACGAACGCUGGCGGCGUGCUUAACACAUGCAAGUCGAACGGAAAGGCCCUGCUUUUGUGGGGUGCUCGAGUGGCGAACGGGUGAGUAACACGUGAGUAACCUGCCCUUGACUUUGGGAUAACUUCAGGAAACUGGGGCUAAUACCGGAUAGGAGCUCCUGCUGCAUGGUGGGGGUUGGAAAUUUUCGGCGGUUGGGGAUGGACUCGCGGCUUAUCAGCUUGUUGGUGGGGUAGUGGCUUACCAAGGCUUUGACGGGUAGCCGGCCUGUGAGGGUGACCGGCCACAUUGGGACUGAGAGACGGACCAGACUCCUACGGGAGGCAGCAGUGGGGAAUAUUGCACAAUGGGCGGAAGCCUGAUGCAGCAACGCCGCGUGCGGGAUGACGGCCUUCGGGUUGUAAACCGCUUUCGCCUGUGACGAAGCGUGAGUGACGGUAAUGGGUAAAGAAGCACCGGCUAACUACGUG
rnacentral:rRNA from 1 species